GACAAACGCUGGCGGCGUGCUUAAUACAUGCAAGUCGAACGGUCCUCAUUCGUGAGGAUAGUGGCGGACGGGUGAGUAACACGUAGAUGACCUGCCCUGAAGUGGGGAAUAACACCGAGAAAUCGGUGCUAAUACCGCAUAAGCUCUCUAAGGUGGCUUAGAGAGGAAACCUGGGAGCAAUCCUGGGGCUAUAGGGAGGGGUCUGCGGCGGAUUAGCUAGAUGGUGGGGAAAGGCCUACCAUGGCGACGAUCCGUAGCUGGUCUGAGAGGACGAUCAGCCACACUGGGACUGAGACAC
rnacentral:rRNA from 1 species